AACGAACGCUGGCGGCGCGCUUAACACAUGCAAGUCGAACGCUCUGGGGGCAACUCAGGGAGUGGCGAACGGGUGCGUAACACGUGGGUAAUCUGCCUCCGAGGUCGGGAUAACUCGCCGAAAGGCGAGCUAAUACCGGAUAUGCUCACGUUUCCGAGAGGAAGAGUGAGGAAAGGCGAAAGCCGAUCGGAGAUGAGCCCGCGGCCCAUCAGCUAGUUGGCGAGGUAAAGGCNCACCAAGGCGACGACGGGUAGCUGGUCUGAGAGGACGGCCAGCCACACUGGAACUGAGACACGGUCCAGACUCCUACGGGAGGCAGCAGUGGGGAAUCUUGCGCAAUGGGCGAAAGCCUGACGCAGCGACGCCGCGUGUGCGAUGAAGGUCUUCGGAUCGUAAAGCACUGUCGACCCGGGAAAAA
rnacentral:rRNA from 1 species